rfam:Microbacterium sp. STBG005 Ion018_assembly_rep_c4547, whole genome shotgun sequence.
AAAUUGAAGAGUUUGAUCAUGGCUCAGAUUGAACGCUGGCGGCAGGCCUAACACAUGCAAGUCGAACGGUAGCACAGAGAGCUUGCUCUCGGGUGACGAGUGGCGGACGGGUGAGUAAUGUCUGGGAAACUGCCUGAUGGAGGGGGGAUAACUACUGGAAACGGUAGCUAAUACCGCAUAACGUCGCAAGACCAAAGAGGGGGACCUUCGGGCCUCUUGCCAUCAGAUGUGCCCAGAUGGGAUUAGCUAGUAGGUGGGGGUAACGGCUCACCUAGGCGACGAUCCCUAGCUGGUCUGAGAGGAUGACCAGCCACACUGGAACUGAGACACGGUCCAGACUCCUACGGG